UACAGAGGUCUCAAGCGUUUGUUCGGAUUCAUUGGGCGUAAAGGGUGCGUAGGCGGCGCGGUAAGUCGGGUGUGAAAUCUCGGAGCUUAACUCCGAAACUGCAUUCGAUACUGCCGUGCUUGAGGACUGGAGAGGAGACUGGAAUUUACGGUGUAGCGGUGAAAUUCGUAGAUAUUCGCAAGAACACCAGUGGCGAAGGCGGCUUACUGGUCCGGUUCUGACGCUGAGGCGCGAAAGCGUGGGGAGCAAACAGG
rnacentral:rRNA from 1 species